rnacentral:rRNA from 1 species
UGAGCAAUCUGCCCUUCUCAUCGGAAUAAGCGUUGGAAACGACGUCUAAUGCCGAAUACGACCUCCUUUCGCAUGAUCGGAGGUGGAAAGCUCCGGCGGAGAAGGAUGAGCUCGCGGCCUAUCAGCUAGUUGGUUUGNGGGUAAUGGCCCACCAAGGCGACGACGGGUAGCUGGU